UACGUAGGGACCAAGCGUUGUCCGGAAUUAUUGGGCGUAAAGAGCUCGUAGGCGGCUGUCCACGUCGGAUGUGAAAGCUCGGGGCUCAACCCUGAGAGGCCAUUCGAUACGGGAUAGCUAGAGGUAGGUAGGGGAGAUUGGAAUUCCUGGUGUAGCGGUGAAAUGCGCAGAUAUCAGGAGGAACACCGAUGGCGAAGGCAGGUCUCUGGGCAUUAACUGACGCUGAGGAGCGAAAGCAUGGGGAGCGAACAGG
rnacentral:rRNA from 1 species